CAAUUAAGCUUCUAACAUCUUGAUUUAUUGUGAUUGCAUUCCAACUAGGGAUGUCAAUAGAUAUGGAUAUCCGAAAUUUUAUUCGAACCUAAACCCGAAUGAAACGGAUAUAUCCGAUGGAUAUGGAUAUGGAUUCGAAUAUGGAUAUCAAAAAUAGAAACCCGACGGACAUGAAUUCGGAUAUGGAUUUUGAUUGUACCCGACCCGCCUGAACCCAAACCCAAACCCGACCGGAACCAGGCCGAAUCCGAAUUUGUUUUGUAUUAUAUAUGAUGGCUGGGGCUACUAUACUCUUAUGAGUAUAGACCCCCUCGUACUCAUAAAUUUUUAACUGUUGAUUGAUGGGAUGUUUGAUUAGGAUGAUGGUGGUCCCUACUUAGAAUGAUAGUGGUCCCGUAGGGUUGAGUGGGUAGUUAGUUGAAUAGUAUGAUCUAACGAAUGAAAUGAUCAAUGGAAUAAAUCUAAGGGCUGAAAACUUAUGAGUAUUAGGGAGUCAAUACUCAUAAAAGUAUAGUAGCCGGACUCAUAUAUAUAUAUAUAUAUAUAUAUAUAUAUAUAUAUAUAUAUAUAUAAAAGCAAAAUUUU
rnacentral:lncRNA from 1 species